GGGGAGGAUGGAAGAUGUACACAUUUUUCAAGCACGUAUAAAUAUAAAUAUAAACAUUGUACAAGUGAAACUGAAGUCGAGAUCAAAAUUGGACAAAAGUUGCAUUUUCAAUAAUACCGUCAUUUUCGAUUCCUUCAGUAAUAGUAAUAGAAAUCAAGAAUUGCGCAUAAGGAUGAUAAGCUGACAACAAAUAUACUAAAUUCGCGAGAUUCUGCAUGCACAUUUUGUACAAAGUGGUCAAUUUACAUUGCAUACUUAAUUAAAUGAUUGAUCAAGGUACUCAUUUCCAUUGAAUUAAAUAUGCAUAUGGCUCACAUUGUAUGAGAAAAGUUACGAAAUCCAGACUCAAUCGUAUACAGAAUUUCCUACGUUGAGCUUUCAUAUUCAGUUUCAAUAUGUACAUAUGAGUAUCCUUACAGAGUACAGACUUCUUGUCACACAUUGGGUCUGUGUGAGGAGGUGCAUAAUUUUGUUCCUCAGUAAUUGAUUAAAUAAGUGUCACACUUUGAACUGAACUUAAUUCUUUGUUUUCAUCCAAUUCCACUCUUAAUUUGUAGAAUACAUUGUAUUUUUCAUUCACCACAGAAUAGAAAAGCAUUAGCUUCCAAUUAGCCAUGUUUGUACUCGCGUUUAAAUGAAUGGGUCCUAAGUGCAUUUUAGAACGGAGAAGAAACAAAUGACAAACUUUAUUGGAAGACUGCAUCGGACUGAGAUUAAUCCAAGAAAAAAAACCUUGGAUCACUCGUCUAACCACCAAAACCCAGCCCAAACCUAUGCUAACUUUGCGCAUGAAAAAGGAAAAGUAAAAUAAACGGGAGAGAAAUUCCUCUUUAAAAUAAAUGGCUAAAGCCACACAAAGAUGUUAAGUGGGAUGGGAGAUGCAAUUAGAGGAAGUCCCAACGGACCAAUAAAAUCCCAGCCUGCACAUGUUACGUGUCCGCACUCACUCCCUCUCCAAAGCCCGAGGAGUUAAGUAACUUUGUCAAAUUUAACUACCACCAGGAAAAACCUUCGGCAUCCGAGAAAGUGCGGGUUUAAAAUUGAAAUCCCGAUACCGCACCUAAAUGCAAGGCGUGGACGUGUAUCGUUUGAUAGCUGGCAUCACCAUAAUCAUCAUCAUCGCAUCGUGAAAUACUAUUUAUAUUUACUCACCCGACUUGAAUCCAAACUUUACAAGUUUCUCUGCAUCGUACGAUUUUUCAAAGUGUGCUUCGAGCUGAUCUUCGUGUGUGUAUAUUACGAAUGGCGUUUUAAGUAAGUGGAGUUUCAUAACAAGUAUGAUUACGCCUAUAAACUGAACAUUAUCAUUUGCCACUUGGAAAAUGCGAGUGUGUUUGUUUGUCCCUUGGGCUUUCUCCCAUUUAUUUACUACUUGUUUGCAUUUCCUUCCUUCCUCCUGCACCAACGCACCACUUUCUAAUGGAAUUUACCACCUUAUUAAACUACAUACUUUUAGGAGGACGAUCAUUAUUUUAUGUGUGUUGUGGGCGUUUGAGGUGCUUUGAGUGAAUUUUAAUGAUUUGAGACUACUUCGAGUGCUUAGAAAAGUAGAGUAAGGUGAAUUAUUUGUGAAGUAUUAUUUAAAUAAAUAGAAUUUAAAAAUGAA